UAGGGAAUCUUCGGCGAUGGACGAAAGUCUGACCGAGCAACGCCGCGUGAGUGAAGAAUGUUUUCGGAUCGUAAAACUCUGUUGUUAGAGAAGAACAAGGACGUUAGUAACUGAACGUCCCCUGACGGUAUCUAACCAGAAAGCCACGGCUAACUACGUGCCAGCAGCCGCGGUAAUACGUAGGUGGCAAGCGUUGUCCGGAUUUAUUGGGCGUAAAGCGAGCGCAGGCGGUUUCUUAAGUCUGAUGUGAAAGCCCCCGGCUCAACCGGGGAGGGUCAUUGGAAACUGGGAGACUUGAGUGCAGAAGAGGAGAGUGGAAUUCCAUGUGUAGCGGUGAAAUGCGUAGAUAUAUGGAGGAACACCAGUGGCGAAGGCGGCUCUCUGGUCUGUAACUGACGCUGAGGCUCGAAAGCGUGGGGAGCAAACAGG
rnacentral:rRNA from 1 species